CCCUUAGAUGUUCUGGGCUGCAUGCGCGCUACACUGACGCACGCAACAGGUGCCUGCUCCGAGAGGACUGGGUAAUCAUUUGAGUGUGCGUCGUGAUGGGGAUAGAAUAUUGUAAUUAUUACUCUUCAACGAGGAAUUCCUAGUAAGCGCCAGUCAGCAGCUUGCGCUGAUUACGUCCCUGCCCUUUGUACACACCGCCCGUCGCUCCUACCGAUGGGUGAUCCGGUGAAUGAUUCGGACUUCAGCGGCUCCCCUGGGGUGCGCCGGAGAAAGUUUUGUGAACCUUAUCACUUGGAGGAAGGAGAAGUCGUAACA
rnacentral:rRNA from 1 species